rnacentral:rRNA from 1 species
AUUGAACGCUGGCGGCAUGCCUUACACAUGCAAGUCGAACGGCAGCACGGGAGCAAUCCUGGUGGCGAGUGGCGAACGGGUGAGUAAUAUAUCGGAACGUGCCCGGUCGUGGGGGAUAACGUAGCGAAAGCUACGCUAAUACCGCAUACGAUCUACGGAUGAAAGCGGGGGAUCGCAAGACCUCGCGCGAUUGGAGCGGCCGAUAUCAGAUUAGGUAGUUGGUGAGGUAAAGGCUCACCAAGCCGACGAUCUGUAGCUGGUCUGAGAGGACGACCAGCCACACUGGGACUGAGACACGGCCCAGACUCCUACGGGAGGCAGCAGUGGGGAAUUUUGGACAAUGGGCGCAAGCCUGAUCCAGCAAUGCCGCGUGCAGGAUGAAGGCCUUCGGUUGUAACGUAG